GGUCUGCCAGCCUGCGCAUGCGCGUGUUGUGUUAGCGGAAGUGGUCUGGGAUGGCCCGCCGUAGACGGUGAGAGUCCGGUACGUGAAAACAUGAUGGGUGUGUGUGGAUGUCGUUCCCGAGUAGCAGCGGGCUCGUGGAAUCUGCUGUGAAUCUGCCGGGACCACCCGGUAAGCCUGAAUACUCUUUGUGACCGAUAGCGGAUAGUACCGUGAGGGAAUGGUGAAAAGUACCCCGGGAGGGGAGUGAAAUAGUACCUGAAACCGUGCGCUUACAAUCCGUCAGAGCCUCGUUGUGGGGUGAUGGCGUGCCUUUUGAAGAAUGAGCCUGCGAGUCAGCGGCACGUCGCGAGGUUAACCCGUGUGGGGUAGCCGUAGCGAAAGCGAAUACUAACUAGUGUGGUUGAGUGGCGUGUCCUGGACCCGAAGCGGGGUGAUCUACCCAUGGCCAGUGUGAAGCGAUGGUAAGACGUCGUGGAGGCGCGAACCCACUUAGGUUGAAAACUGAGGGGAUGAGCUGUGGGUAGGGGUGAAAGGCCAAUCAAACUCCGUGAUAGCUGGUUCUCCCCGAAAUGCAUUUAGGUGCAGCGUCGUGUGUUUCUUGCCGGAGGUAGAGCUACUGGUUGGUUUAGCGGGACUACCAUCUUAGCGACAUCAGCCAAACUCCGAAUGCCGGUAAGUGAGAGCGCGGCAGUGAGACUGCGGGGGAUAAGCUUCGUGGUCGAGAGGGAAACAGCCCGGAUCGCCGGCUAAGGCCCCUAAGAGUGUACUAAGUGGAAAAGGAUGUGGGAUCGCGAAGACAGCCAGGAGGUUGGCUUAGAAGCAGCCAUCCUUGAAAGAGUGCGUAAUAGCUCACUGGUCGAGUGGUUCUGCGCCGACAAUGUAGUGGGGCUCAAGUACACCGCCGAAGCCGCGGAACUUCCAUCUUUUGGUGGGGGUUGGUAGGGGAGCGUCGUGUGGCCGGUGAAGGUGCGGGGUGACCCAGUGCUGGAGGCCAUGCGAGUGAGAAUGCAGGCAUGAGUAGCGAAUGACGAGUGAGAAACUCGUCCGCCGGAUGACUAAGGGUUCCUGGGUCAAGCUAAUCUUCCCAGGGUGAGUCGGGGCCUAAGGCGAGGCCGACAGGCGUAGUCGAUGGAUAACGGGUUGAUAUUCCCGUACCCGUCUGUGUGCGACCAUGGUGAAUCGGUGAUACUAACCACCCGUGUGUGCUGCUGUUUCCGGUCUUUAGCCGGUUGGUGGUGCAUGUGCGUGGGACCUGAGCUGGUAGUAGCCAAGUGAUGGGGUGACGCAGGAAGGUAGCCGAGCCACUUAUUGGAUUGUGGUGUAAGCGUGUGGCCCGUCAGCCUGGUAAAUCCGGUUGGCAUGAGGGUGAGGCGUGAUGCGUACCCGUUUGCGGGGAUGUCGGUGAUCCUAUGCUGUCGAGAAAAGCCUCUAGCGAUGUGCACAUUCGGCCCGUACCCAUAACCGACACAGGUGGUCAGGUAGAGAAUACUAAGGCGAUCGGGUGAACUGUGGUUAAGGAACUCGGCAAAAUGCCCCCGUAACUUCGGGAGAAGGGGGACCACUGCUGGUGACAGACUGGUUUUGAGCUGGUGGUGGUCGCAGAGAAUAGAGGGAAGCGACUGUUUACUAAAAACACAGGUCCGUGCGAAGACGGUAAGUCGAUGUAUACGGACUGACGCCUGCCCGGUGCUGGAAGGUUAAGAGGACCUGUUAGACCCUUGUGGUCGAAGCGGAGAAUUUAAGCCCCAGUAAACGGCGGUGGUAACUAUAACCAUCCUAAGGUAGCGAAAUUCCUUGUCGGGUAAGUUCCGACCUGCACGAAUGGCGUAACGACUUCCCUGCUGUCUCAACCACAGGCCCGGCGAAAUUGCAGUACGAGUAAAGAUGCUCGUUACGCGCGGCAGGACGA
rnacentral:rRNA from 1 species